ensembl:lncRNA
CAUGGACAGGUGCCCAGCCGAGAUGCAGAGCUUCCCAGCUCUCUGAGGGAUUGGCAUGAUAAUGUACAUGACAAUGUUACUGUAUUUGGUCUUGGCGGAAUAGAUCUGCUACGCUGCUUCUGCGGCAGAGCAAGUACCGAAACUUGCUACUGCCAAUACAUCCACAACAUGCUGCUGUGAGCAUGUAAGAAAUAUUGCUGCUGCAAAUAUAACAUACAUGAAAUAACCUCCAUAUAGCAUACAUGAAUCACCUCGUAGGAGAUCUAUACAGUUGAAACUGGGGAAGGUGGAGUGUUUCUGUAGCAAGCUGCAAUUGCUAUGGUAAGCCCUAGUCAUAUAUUUGAA